CAGUCGCCGCGGUAAUACAGAGGGUGCGAGCGUUAAUCGGAUUUACUGGGCGUAAAGCGUGCGUAGGCGGCUUCUUAAGUCGGAUGUGAAAUCCCUGAGCUUAACUUAGGAAUUGCAUUCGAUACUGGGAAGCUAGAGUAUGGGAGAGGAUGGUAGAAUUCCAGGUGUAGCGGUGAAAUGCGUAGAGAUCUGGAGGAAUACCGAUGGCGAAGGCGGCCCCCUGGACAAAGACUGACGCUCAGGUGCGAAAGCGUGGGGAGCAAACAGGAUUAGAUACCCGCGUAGUCCCUGUCUCUUAUAC
rnacentral:rRNA from 1 species